rnacentral:rRNA from 1 species
CCUACGGGCGGCUGCAGUGAGGAAUAUUGGUCAAUGGACGCGAGCCUGAACCAGCCAAGUAGCGUGAAGGAUGACUGCCCUACGGGUUGUAAACUUCUUUUAUAAAGGAAUAAAGUGCGGCACAUGUGCCUUUUUGUAUGUACUUUAUGAAUAAGGAUCGGCUAACUCCGUGCCAGCAGCCGCGGUAAUACGGAGGAUCCGAGCGUUAUCCGGAUUUAUUGGGUUUAAAGGGAGCGUAGAUGGGUUGUUAAGUCAGUGGUGAAAGUUUGCGGCUCAACCGUAAAAUUGCAAUUGAUACUGGCAGGCUUGAGUAUAGUUGAGGUAGGCGGAAUUCGUGGUGUAGCGGUGAAAUGCUUAGAUAUCACGAAGAACUCCGAUUGCGAAGGCAGCUUACUAAACUGCGACUGACAUUGAUGCUCGAAAGUGUGGGUAUCAAACAGGAUUAGAUACCCUUGUAGUC